AACGAACGCUGGCGGCAUGCCUAACACAUGCAAGUCGAACGAGACCUUCGGGUCUAGUGGCGCACGGGUGCGUAACGCGUGGGAACCUGCCUUGAGGUUCGGAAUAACUCCCCGAAAGGGGUGCUAAUACCGGAUAAUGUCUUCGGACCAAAGAUUUAUCGCCUUUAGAUGGGCCCGCGUUGGAUUAGCUAGUUGGUGGGGUAAAGGCCUACCAAGGCGACGAUCCAUAGCUGGUCUGAGAGGAUGAUCAGCCACACUGGGACUGAGACACGGCCCAGACUCCUACGGGAGGCAGCAGUGGGGAAUAUUGGACAAUGGGGCGAAAGCCUGAUCCAGCAAUGCCGCGUGAGUGAUGAAGGCCUUAGGGUUGUAAAGCUCUUUUACCCGGGAUGAUAAUGACAGUACCGGGAGAAUAAGCUCCGGCUAACUCCGUGCCAGCCGCCGCGGUAAUU
rnacentral:rRNA from 1 species